UAACUAAAGUGACUUGUGUGGCAGCAAAGGCAUUAAUGAAUGAAGUGUUUGAGCCUGUGUGAUUGACUGUGUUGUUCUGUUGUCUCUCUCACUUACACACACACACACACCAUCAUUUGUUGUUAACCAUUGUUGUUAUUAAAUAUGUGAACCCUAGAGACCUUAUGUUCUGUAUAAUAAAAACUAUGUGAAUAAAUUUAGUUGAAACUCAAAAUUUGUCUCAAGUCAGUUUAAUCGUGUGUUAGUUUUUCAGCCUUUUGAUAUCAACUGCCAAAAUGAGUUUUUUAAAAAAUAUAUAUAGUUUACACUAAUUGUCUUGUCGUGACGGUUAAAAUGAUUCCAUUCAUUGUAAUCUACAAUGUUGUCUAAUUGUUUUGUAUACUAAAAUGUCACACAUUUCAGAGACAAAUUUGAAAUAGAACAAAUUCACUCAAUCAAAUUGUUUUGUAUUAACAUUUUUAAAUAUAUAUAUAUAUGCUUCAUUUGGAUAGAAAUUUUUAUCACUGGAACGUCCAUUGAAAUUUCUCAGAUAUUGCUUGUACAACCAAUUAAGUUGGCACCAAUGUUUUUUGUAUUUGUAUACUAGCGUUUGACAGUUUAAAAUGUACAAAUUGACAGCAAGGUCAAGAGUUAUGUGACAUAAACCAAACAAGGCAGACAUGAACUAGUACUAGUCAUUCAUGAUAUUAGUGUUAUCAAGCAGUGUUAGCUUCCUUUGUUAGACAAAAGUGUUUGCUAGGUACCUGUAGGAUGUGUGCUUUAUUUAGAUGUUAGCCAACACAUUUUGUUCUCUCUGUAAUUGAUGUGAGGAGCUCAUGGACUUGAUGUUCAAUAAACAAUAUGAAUGAA